CCUGGUCUGUGUUCUCCCUCUACCCUCCCUCUACCCUCCCUCCCUGGUCUGUGUUCUCCCUCUACCCUCUCUACCCCCUCCCUGGUCUGUGUUCUCCCUCUACCCUCUCUCUACCCUCCCUCCCUGGUCUGUGUUCUCCCUCUACCCUCCCUCUGUGUUCUCUACCCUCCCUCCCUGGUCUGUGUUCUCCCUCUACCCUCCCUCCCUGGUCUGUGUUCUCCCUCUACCCUCCCUCCCUGGUCUGUGUUCUCCCUCUACCCUCCCUCCCUGGUCUGUGUUCUCCCUCUACCCUCCCUCCCUGGUCUGUGUUCUCCCUCUACCCACCCUCCCUGGUCUGUGUUCUCCCUCUACCCACCCUCCCUGGUCUGUGUUCUCCCUCUACCCACCCUCCCUGGUCUGUGUUCUCCCUCUACCCUCCCUCCCUGGUCUGUGUUCUCCCUCUGCCCUCCCUCCCUGGUCUGUGUUCUCCCUCUACCCUCCCUCCCUGGUCUGUGUUCUCCCUCUACCCUCCCUCCCUGGUCUGUGUUCUCCCUCUACCCUCCCUCCCUGGUCUGUGUUCUCCCUCUACCCUCCCUCCCUGGUCUGUGUUCUCCCUCUACCCUCCCUCCCUGGUCUGUGUUCUCCCUCUACCCUCUCUCUACCCUCUCUCUACCCUCCCUCCCUGGUCUGUGUCAUCCCUCUAACCUUCCUCCCUGGUCUGUGUUCUCCCUCUACCCUCUCUCUACCCUCCCUCCCUGGUCUGUGUUCUCCCUCUACCCUCUCUCUACCCUCCCUCCCUGGUCUGUGUUCUCCCUCUACCCUCUCUCUACCCUCCCUCCCUGGUCUGUGUUCUCCCUCUACCCUCUCUCUACCCUCCCUCCCUGGUGUGUGUUCUCCCUCUACCCUCUCUCUACCCUCUCUCUACCCUCCCUCCCUGGUCUGUGUUCUCCCUCUACCCUCCCUCUCUACCCUCCCUCCCUGGUCUGUGUUCUCCCUCUACCCUCCCUCUACCCUCCCUCCCUGGUCUGUGUUCUCCCUCUACCCUCUCUCUACCCUCCCUCCCUGGUCUGUGUCUCCCUCUACCUGGUCUGUGUUCUCCCUCUACCCUCCCUCCCUGGUCUGUGUUCUCCUCUACCUCCCUCCCUGGUCUGUGUUCUCCCUCUACCCUCUCUCUACCCUCCCUCCCCCUGGUCUGUGUUCUCCCUCUACCCUCUCUCUACCCUCCCUCCCUGGUCUGUGUCAUCCCUCUAACCUUCCUCCCUGGUCUGUGUUCUCCCUCUACCCUCUCUCUACCCUCCCUCCCUGGUCUGUGUCAUCCCUCUAACCUUCCUCCCUGGUCUGUGUUCUCCCUCUACCCUCUCUCUACCCUCCCUCCCUGGUCUGUGUUCUCCCUCUACCCUCCCUCUACCCUCCCUCCCUGGUCUGUGUUCUCCCUCUACCCUCUCUCUACCCUCCCUCCCUGGUCUGUGUUCUCCCUCUACCCUCUCUCUACCCUCCCUCCCUGGUCUGUGUUCUCCCUCUACCCUCUCUCUACCCUCCCUCCCUGGUCUGUGUUCUCCCUCUACCCUCUCUCUACCCUCCCUCCCUGGUCUGUGUCAUCCCUCUAACCUUCCUCCCUGGUCUGUGUUCUCCCUCUACCCUCUCUCUACCCUCCCUCCCUGGUCUGUGUCAUCCCUCUAACCUUCCUCCCUGGUCUGUGUUCUCCCUCUACCCUCUCUCUACCCUCCCUCCCUGGUCUGUGUUCUCCCUCUACCCUCUCUCUACCCUCCCUCCCUGGUCUGUGUUCUCCCUCUACCCUCUCUCUACCCUCCCUCCCUGGUCUGUGUCCUCUCUCUACCCUCCCUCCCUGGUCUGUAGCCUUUCCCAGAUCUGUGCACAUUUCUGUCUCAGAGCUCUACGGACAAUUCUUUCCACCUCAUGACUUGGUUUUUGCUCUGACAUGCACUGUCAAUUGUGGGCACCUAAUAUAGACAGGUGUGUGCCUUUCCAAAUCAUGUUCAAUUAGUUGUGUUUACCACAGGUGGACAGCAAGUUGUAGAAACAUCUCAAGGAUGAUCAAUGGAAACAGGAUGCACCUGAGCUCAAUUUCGAGUCUCAUAGCAAAGGGUCAGAAUACUUACGUAAAUAAUGUAUUUCAGUUUGAUACAUUUUUUGAAAUGUAUUAAAAGAAUAAAAACAUUUUUAUUUGUAUUUAAUCCACUUUAAACUAAGGCUGUAAUGUAACAAAAUGUGGAAAAAGUCAAGGGGUUUGAAAACCUUCCGAAGGUCAUUGUUAGUGUGUGGUAUGUGUUGCAUGUAUGAUUCAUCCAGAUUUCAGAAUUGUAUAAUAAAGUGAAAUCAAUAAAA
ensembl:lncRNA